rnacentral:tRNA from 1 species
GCCCCCUUAGCUCAGUUGGCAGAGCACUUCCAUGGUAAGGAAGGGGUCUACGGUUCGAGUCCGUAAGGGGGCU